rnacentral:lncRNA from 1 species
UUUUUUUUUGUCUUUCAAGUUCCUCAUAGUGAUCAGCAGAUAUAAAUCCCGAGUAACUCAAAGAAUAGAGCUAUGCUCCCCGGCGACGGCACCAGAAAAUAGUCUUGAUAACCCACAAGUAUAGGGGAUCGCAACAGUUUUCGAGGGUAGAGUAUUCAACCCAAAUUUAUUGAUUCGACACAAGGGGAGCCAAAGAAUAUUCUCAAGUAUUAGCAGUUGAGUUGUCAAUUCAACCACACCUGGAAGACUUAAUAUCUGCAGUAAAAUAUUUAGUAGCAAAGUAGUAUGGAAGUGACGGCAACGGUGGCAAAAGUAACGGUAGCAGUUUUGUAGUAAUUGUAACAGUGGCAACGGAAAAGUAACUAAGCAAAGAUCAAUAUGUGAAAAGCUCGUAGGCAAUGGAUCAAUGAUGAAGAAUUAUAUCGGAUGUGAUUCCUCAUGCAACAGUUAUAACAUAGGGUGACAUAGAACUAGCUCCAGUUCAUCAAUAUAAUGUAGGCAUGUAUUCCAAAUAUAGUCAUACAUGCUUAUGGAAAAGAACUUGCGUGACAUCUUUUGUCCUACCCUCCCGUGGCAGUGGGGUCCUAUUGAAAACUAAGGGAUAUUAAGGCCUCCUUUUACUAGAGUACCGGACCAAAGCAUUAACAAUUAGUGAAUACAUGAACUCCUCAAACUACGGUCAUCACCGAGAGUGGUCCCGAUUAUUGUCACUUCGGGGUUACCGGAUCAUAACACAUAGUAGGUGACUAUUGACUUGCAAGAUAGGAUCAAGAACUCACAUAUAUUCAUGAAAACAUAAUAGGUUCAGAUCUGAAAUCAUGGCACUCGGGCCCUAGUGAUAAGCAUUAAGCAUAGCAAAGUCAUAGCAACAUCCAACCCAUCACCGUCCAGCAAUAGAUACUAGGGAUCAAACCCUAACAAAACUAACUCAAUUACAUGGUAAAUCUCAUCCAACCCAUCACCGUCCAGCAAGCCUAUGAUGGAAUUACUCACGCAUGGCGGUGAGCAUCAUGAAAUUGGUGAUGGAGGAACGUUGAUGAUGACGAUGGUGACGGAUUCCCCUCUCUGGAGCCCCGAAUGGACUCCAGAUCAGCCCUCCCGAGAGAGAUUAGGGCUUGGCGGCAGCUCCGUAUCGUAAAACGCGAUGAAUCAUUCUCUCUUAUUUUUUUUUGUCCCCGGGCGUGAAUAUAUAGAGUUGGGGUUGAGGUCGGUGGAGCCUCAGGGGGGCACGAGGCAGGGGGCGCGCCCUCCACCCUCGUGGACAAGGUGUGGGCCCCUGGUGUUGAUUAUUUCGCUAGUAUUUUUUAUUAAUUCCAAAAAUAUUCUCCGUGAAGUUUCAGGUCAUUCCGAGAACUUUUAUUUCUGCACAAAAAUAACACCAUGGCAAUUCUGCUGAAAACAGUGUCAGUCCGGGUUAGUUCCAUUCAAAUGAUGCAAGUUAGAGUCCAAAAUAAGGGCAAAAGUAUUUGGAAAAGUAGAUAUAGUGGAUUCAUGUGGCAAAACUGGUUUAAAGGAUUUUGGAUGCACAAGUAUAGAUCAUACUUAGUGCAAAGUGAAGGCUAGCAAAAGAUUGGGAAGCGACCAACCAAGAAACGAAUAAUCUCAUAAGCAAGCAUUAAGCAUAAUUAACACCGAAUAAUGCACCACAAGUAGGAUAUGAUUUUUAUUGCAUGAUUAUUGACUUUCGUGCAUGCAUAGGGAAUCACAAACCUUAACACCAAUAUUCUUGCACGCAUAGGACAGCUUGGAAAUAGUGUCAGGGCAUCAUUUGAAUUUCUAUGAUGAAUUUCGAAUAAUAUAUGCAUGAAUACAUAACAGUGCAAAGAACACAUGCCUUGACUUUCACACCAAUAUACUUCUCUAUACUACCUUCAGGAUCUGGUUCACGAGCCGCGUCCUCAUCAAUGUCAUCAUCGCCAGCAUCACCACCCUACAGAAAUGGAGUGAGUUAGGAAUUAGAAGUGCAAGAAACAGGACCAAAGUUGGUGGGUAAAGUAAGGAAAUCGAAACCUUUUUCCUCAUCAUAACCAAGUAUCCGUGGCCACCUUGCACUGAUUAAGAGAACACUUCACGGAAGUGCCUCGCAAACUCCUUUAAAUAUGUGUUCAAUUGAUUCAUCCUUCCUUUGGUCUAAAACUGAUAUCAACUCUCUAAUUUUCUGCAAUACCAAUCAGCAGAUUUUAUGAGAUUCUAGUCUUAGGACAAUCAAAAGGGAAACAAGUUGUGCUGAUCGGAAAGCUUACCUCGUCAUCAGCAUCAAGUUCAGCGCGUCUUCUCCGCUGUUCAGUGAAGUUCAGGAAGGACUAAUUACUUCAAAUGCUCAGUGCAGUCAUAAAGCAGCUGCCGCUUGUUCUUUCUCUUGUACCUUUAUUAUUGGCCAGAAAAUAACUACAGCAUGGUUAACACUAUAAAAAAGGUAUUCUGCAGCUGAGUUAGCCAGUUUAGCAAUGUAACAAAUGGAAAUAUAGGUUUCAAAAGCAUCAGCAGGCAAUGAGUCCAAAUCUCGGAUUUUCUUCAUACACUCAUCUUGCUUGACAAGAUACGUGCUCCUGCUGCUCAUCAACUUUUCCAAGUCCACCAUCUUGCACAGUCUGCUCCAAAGUAGCUUCAAAAGCCUGUGUUUAGAUGUACAUGACAACACAUAACAAGUCAACAGUAGCUAUACAAGUUAAACCCCAAGAAAACACUAUAGCUGUAUUAAGUACCUUCAGAUCAUCCCCUUGUUUUUCCGUUGCUCCAUCUUUCUUGAAUCGGCAUUAACAGCAUCGACAUUGGCUGCCCAAAAGAUCAUUUAAGGGGGUUAGGGGGCAACAUUUGAGGAUGGUGUCUCGAUGGUGAAAGAGGUGGUACCUGAUAUGUCCUGCCUUCUAGCGCUUUUCACAUAUUACACCCCGAUUCUGAAGCAUGGUGUCGCCAACUUCAUGUCUGAUGUUAAAGAAAGCCGGUGCACAUGGUAAUGCCUUAUAGUUUCCCAUAGAUUCAGUGAUGUCCUUCUACAUUAAAAUGUCAUUCAACUCAUAUGGCCACCUUGUUAAUUAUCUGAAAUGCAGCACCGCUUCUCCUGUAUGUUAGUUUUUACUAGUGCAUAAGAUUUCAGGCAGACGAUUGAGGAACUAAAAGCUGCAUAACAGCAUAGACAUAGACAUAUAUCCACAGCUAUAUUUUACAUGACAAUAGUUUACACGUUGUACAGUGAUGUUAGUAAUGUGCCACUUUGUUGCUGUUGUGAAGUUCUAUUCUCACUGUAACAAUCAAGUUGCAUAUGUAUUACCAUGCUGCAGGUCUUGUGCUACCUGAUGCUCCUCUGGGAGACAGAUAUUUUGAGAUCGAGGCUGCCAAGAACAACCUUGAGCUGGCAGGCUCUCUUUUGCAUUAUCCAUUUUUCCAUCUCUUGUGUCUCAACAAAAUAGGGUUGAAUAUUCUCCUUAACUCUCUCUACCUUUGAAGAAAGGCCCCGCUUGAUAUUUCUUAUUUAAGCGCUGAUGCAUAGUGAUGAGUUCCGCUUAUUCGGCUCAUUGCUUUGCUGUAAUUUUAAGAUGUUGAUUAGUCUGGAUUCUGGAAUACUGAAGAAAUACUCAGCAUCAGGUGUUGAUUAAUUGGGAAUAUUAAAGAUGCCUCUUUUGUUGCUAAGUUGCUUACAUUAUUUUUGUUAUGUCUUACAUUAAUGCGUGCAGGUGUUACUAAAAAGACCAACUACACCAACAGAAAGAAUGGGGAGAAUUAAAAAGGCUUCAGAAGGAUUUGUUUAUCUUGUAAGUGUCCAUAACUCCGAAUCAAUUUUGCUCUCUUAAAAUCUGUUCUCAUAUAGCAUAUUCUCCUUAUUGCUGAUCAGAAAGAUCUCAUAAUUGCCAACAUGGUGUGUAUUUUAAGACUUAAGAAGAGUAGAGUGGUUUAUCAUCUUAAAUUUUGUUGAGGGAAUUUAUCAUCUGAAGUUGACUUCAUAAACUUAAGAAAGAGACAUGCUUCUGCCCUUAAGAAGGGUGCAUUUUAAAACUUAAGAAGAAUACAGUGGUUUAUCAUCUAAUUUUUGUUGACAGAAUUUAUCAUCUGAAGUUGACUUCAUAAACUGAAGGACACAUGCUUCUGUCCUGUCAUGCUUUUUCUCUUCAACAGAGUCUGGCUUGACAUGCUUUUGUGCUGGCAUGUAUCCUGGUGCUAGCUGUGCUAAUUCCUAAACUGAAAAUUAUAAUGAAAUGUACACUGCUGUUUACAAAGACUGAGGCGCCUUGGUUAUGUUAUGACACUUCUCCAUUUGGCCUUAUGAAUCAUGGACAAACGGGAUCCACUUGACAUUGUUGAGGGUUUUUUUUUUUUUUUUGCGGGUGACAUUGUUGAGGUUGACUAUUCGUGAUUCUACUGAAUCUAUUUGAGCAUAACUUGUCACAUGAUAGGCUAUUUGCUAAGUUGCAGCAAUAUUUGCUAUUCAGGUAAGCACUACUGGAGUUACCGGCACAUGUGCAAACAUAAGUUUCAAGGUGGAAGCUUUCUUCGGCAAAUUAAGCAGGUUUGCAAAAUCUUUCUUUAUUGCUACUCAAUGAACUAGUUUUGGUCUGGUAUAAAUGAUGCAGAUAGCAUCUCUUUGUCCCAAUCCCAUGUCAACGAUUUCCUUAUGUUUUAAAAAAUAAAAUUAAACAACAUUCAUCAGUGUUUAUCAUUGUACAAGUGGCUUCAACAUGGCAGUGCUAGUACAUAUAGUGUGAAUAAAUGGAGGAAUGACCCAGUUUAAUAUGCCUGUCGUUUGUUUAUUUUGCUAUAAACUUUUUGAACAGUCGGCUGUAGGAGAGACCCAGGCACUAAAUUUCUAUAUAAGUUAAAAAUACUUCCUAGGUUGAGCAAGAACUGUCAUGUCAAAGUCAACUUCUUGGAUGAUAGAUCUUUCUGGUUUGAUAUACCUAUCCAUUUUUGCUUUUUUUACUAUAAAUAGAUGCUAAUUAUGUUUUCAGUUAAAUAGCCAGGAAGAUUUGCCAUCCAGUUUGUAAAAUUAGCUGGGCAGUAGUACAAUCUUAUAAGAUCAAACAACCAAUCAAAAUAAAAAUCAAUUUCCUGGUUGACCUGAACCUCACAUAUAGACAUGAACUCCAUUCUCAAAGGAAACCAAACAUCUACCUUUUGACUAAAGUUGCUGUCACAUUUUUUUUGUAGUUUAUGUCAUGAAAAACAAAGCAUAUAUUUUCAUUUGCAUUCAUAUUCAUGAUGUUAUCGCUAUUCAAUGACAAGCAUACCUUCACAAAAGUUUCCAGUGGCUGUAUCAAAGUUUACAAGCCACUGCAUAUGAUGCUAUACUAGUCUAGUCAGGAAUUCAUUGCAGAACUAAAAUGGCCACGGAGAGCUUAUCCAGAACAUGGACACUAUGGGGGUGUUAACAUUGAUGGUGAUGAAAUUGAACCUGUGUGGCAUUACAUAUCCAAAUCUUCACUAAUGGUGUCACAGAAUGAGUUGUGCUAUUCUCUUCCUCUACAAGGAAAAUAAAAUAUAAUUGUGUUCACAGACUAGCACGUAUUGGUAUUGGUUGACACAAAUGCGGGCAGAUUUCACUGAAGGAAUCUCCCUGAAUGUACAAAAAUUCAGAGAAGUUGAUCCAAGAUUGCAAGGUACUAUUAAAUCACUACCAAGGAGACAUCCGUUUCAAAUAACAUAUGACAGAGUACUACUUUCAAAUGCAUCGGAACAGGACGAUAUAAAUAAUUUAACUGUGAUCCAUAACAAGUUGCAGAGUGAAGGUACCUAUCCAAUCAACACCCAAAACCAUCGAUAUUUGGACAUCUGAUUCUCAUGAAGGCACCGGAGCCACGCCGAGUCGGCAAAUGUGAAGCUGCUCCAAAAUUCACGGAGGAACGGGCGGCCUCUCCACAAAACAGGGAGUGUACGGGUGAAAUCUUUGCGCCCAGCGGUCUCCAAGAGAGCAGACAACAUCCAGUUCACCGGUGUCCAUAUUGUAGGACAUAAGCAAUGCUUCCGGCGCCACAUCUUGAAGGAAUAUCAGAUUAUUGCACUCUGGAUGGAUCGCAACCGGCUGGUAGAACUCGUUGGGUGCACGGCAAGGGCUUCCUAGCAGUUGAAGAAUGCUGGCAGUACACCUCAGGGUCCACAGCCCGGUAGCAUGAUCCUCGAGAACCCAGACCCAGAGCCGGCAUUUACCUUGAUUUUCUACACGCGCGGUGUAUAGGCGCCCCCGCGACAGCCCGAAGAAACCGUGGUUGCUGGUGUUCGGCAUACGGAUCCUCCUCCAGGUUUCCCCCUCUGCGUCAAAAGUGACCAUGGAGCGUACCACUCCCUCCCGGUCCACCUUGACCGCCGGAUGGCAGACGGCCAGAUGCAGAGACCCAUUGAAGUAGACGCAUCCCGAUUCCUCGCCGAUCAUGAGGUUCUGGGAGCUCCACUUGCUCCCAAUGGAGGUCCACUGCCCGGUGUCUGAAGAGUAGACCGCCACCCUCUGAACCCCGGCGAAGCUUUGCACGAACACAAACACCUUGAAGCGGCCGGGAGCUAGCGGCGGGGUCGAAGCAGAGGCGGGCGGUGUUGAGGCGCGUCAUCUUCUUGUUCCGGGGCACCGGCAGCACGGCCCAGAUCUCCUUGGUGGCAGGGUUGCACACCGCGAAAUCCGCCUCGUCGCUCAUGUCAAACUUCCAGCAGUAGCAGACGAGGAUGCCGCUGCAGCAGUGGAUGGGCGUGACGUGGCGGUAGCCGCGCACGAAGGUGAGGGACGGGUCGUCGACCAUCGGCCGGCCCCACCCGGACAGGCAGGGGCGGAGCCAGCGCCCAGCCACCCUGCCCGGGCUCGUUGGCUGUGAGACAUUGUACAUGCAUGAUAAACAAUGGACAGAUUUUACUGCUAGUCGGGAUUUACCUGAGCACUAGUGCAUGCAUAGAUUGAUUCAAAAAGGGUCCACGUAUGCACGUAUGUGAUAAACAAUGGGUUAGCUUAUUUUUAGGGGUAACAAUGGGCUAGUUAAUUUUUUUACUAAGAGUCCGACUAAUAUUUAAGUAAUGGGCUAACUCCAGCCGAGGAGCAAAGCCAAGGUUAGCACUAUCUUUUUUUUUGGAACGAAGGCUCAAAAAGAGCCCGGCUUUGAAUUAACAAAGCCAUCAACCGGCCACGAUUACAAACUCGGAACGAGCACAAGAAAGAAAAGAAAACGGCAAGAUACAAAGGCGUUGGAAAGCAGCUCACAAGCCUCCACCACGCCAAGCUAAAAGAUCAACAGGAGAAGCACCGCUCGGCGAUGAAGACGUCCUCAACGCGAACAGAGCGCCGUGGAAGAAGUAGAAUGCCCGCACUGGAUCAACAUGUCCAACGACGAAGCAGGGAACGCUAUCGCCUAAGCGCCAGCAGCCCCGACCCAACACAUCCGCCCAGCUCCAAUGUCAAAGAAGGCCCCUGCCUCCUCGCCUGGCUCGAAGGCGCUGCACCGUUGACAAGAGAGCAGUUCACCCUAGAACCUGGGAGGAAGUCGCCGGCAGGCUGCAUCUGGAAAGAAACCAAGCUCGCCCAACAAGUCACGAACAGAUCAACAGGAGCAGGGCACCGCCAAAGCCCACGGAUUGAUCACGAAAAAGGAAGAGCUGCCGGAACGGACGAAGACGAGCAGCAGCUAGACCUCCCAAGAAGGCAGUGAGAAUCGAAGUGCGAGUACCGGAAAGCUCUCAAGGUGGGCUGAGAAGGGCCGCCGUAGGAGGGGAACCCGAUCCCCUCUCGCCCAAGAGGCCACGGGCCAGGCAAGGCACCCCGCAGCAGACCAGAGAGCUCCCGAUAGGCACUUAGGAAGACCGCGUCGUCGUGGGAGGUCAGCAACCGCCGCCGCUGCACAUGAAACAAAUCUCGAAGAAACCCCACGCCCACCUAGCUCCCAAAAGCGGCGCCUUCAGGAAGGGCGCGACGCCAAGGGCGCUGCCACCGCCCAUCAAAGAUGAGGAUUUCUCCCGGGAGACAAGGAGGGGGAGGGGGGAGAGGAACAUACCCUGGCGGCGCCUCCAAGGAGGGGAACGGCGCCCUCGGGCAUCACCGCCGUCGAGACCAGCAAGGCCGGCCUGGGAUUUCUCCCGGUCUUCACAUCCCCGCCAACCACUCCGCAACGACACGAGAACCUGCGCCCCACGACGAAGCAGACCAGAUCUGGCUGUGGCAAGGCUCAACUAGAGACCGGAGAUGCAGGGGCGGCCAGAUCUGGCGCCGCAAUUGCCGGCACGCCCUGGCUCUCGACCUCCGGUUCGCCCGCCAUCCACAUCGCCGAGGUCGCCAGUCCACACCCGUGCCACCGCCUGCCGAAGGCCGGUGACACCACUCCGACCAGGGCCGCCGCCCCGGAGCACGCAGCCCCCUGCAGCAGCAGAGCAGCNNNNNNNNNNNNNNNNNNNNNNNNNNNNNNNNNNNNNNNNNNNNNNNNNNNNNNNNNNNNNNNNNNNNNNNNNNNNNNNNNNNNNNNNNNNNNNNNNNNNNNNNNNNNNNNNNNNNNNNNNNNNNNNNNNNNNNNNNNNNNNNNNNNNNNNNNNNNNNNNNNNNNNNNNNNNNNNNNNNNNNNNNNNNNNNNNNNNNNNNNNNNNNNNNNNNNNNNNNNNNNNNNNNNNNNNNNNNNNNNNNNNNNNNNNNNNNNNNNNNNNNNNNNNNNNNNNNNNNNNNNNNNNNNNNNNNNNNNNNNNNNNNNNNNNNNNNNNNNNNNNNNNNNNNNNNNNNNNNNNNNNNNNNNNNNNNNNNNNNNNNNNNNNNNNNNNNNNNNNNNNNNNNNNNNNNNNNNNNNNNNNNNNNNNNNNNNNNNNNNNNNNNNNNNNNNNNNNNNNNNNNNNNNNNNNNNNNNNNNNNNNNNNNNNNNNNNNNNNNNNNNNNNNNNNNNNNNNNNNNNNNNNNNNNNNNNNNNNNNNNNNNNNNNNNNNNNNUGUGCAUACCAAAAAUAUUACUUAGAUUUAAUUCUGUUAGCCAUAAGAUCUCUGAUGCAUAAGAGAAAAAGUCGCCAAACGCGACAAAAUUUAUUUAUUUGUUAAACAUGAUAAUUUAAUUUCUUGAAGUAAAAUGUGAGGCGACUUGCUUCGAAAAGCAUGAUAAUAUACAUGGAGAAUUUGCAGCUAAGAUCUCUUCUGGUGAAAUUAUUACUAUUUUAUUUUAUUGACAAUCAUAGUGGCAAAUUUAAGUUAAUACAAACUUAAUGAUGUUUUUGUAAUAAUGAAGCAGAAUAUUAUGUAAGUUAUUUUUUCACACUUGUACUUUUUUUUAAAAAAACUUGGCUAUAUCAAGCAUAAUGUUCAACAGUCAUGGGGUGCUAAGUUUGCUUCUUCUAGAAUAAUUACUUGAGAGGAACACGAGUAAUCACAACCCUUGUCUGCACUUUAGCUGUCUGUUUGUAUGUAUUGUGAGACAGAUUGGCGACAAGCGGAGGCAGGCCUUGGUGCAGAGGAUGUGCUGGGCAGAGCAAAUCCAUUUUCAGGAACGGCUUACAUCCUUGACAACUCGUCGUCUCAUCCUCUUUAUGAUGAUCAGAUAAGACUACUAACUGAUUUGGAAAUUGGUAGAUUUAGGGCUUAAAUUUUGAGGUCAGCCGAUGAGAAAUUGACCUCAGGUGAUGAUCACGGCCUCAAAAGUCUAGUCUUUGGUUUAUGGAUUUGUUUUAGAUAGUUACAUGUUAACUUCAAUUUUGAAAUUACUGAAUUUCAUAGAUGGUAAAUUUUGGUUAGUAGAGCAAGCACUCACACUUACCACAAGAAUUUUCCCUCGUGAUUUUCUUUAGCAUAUUAUUGGUAUGUUUUAUCUGACCGUCUCUAUUCUCUAAAGUUCUUUACUUUGAACAUGCUCACAAGUCACAACACGUACUUUAUUUGCACUACAAAUCCUUCUUUUUUAUCUUGUAAUGUUUUCUAGGACGUUUGGAAGCUAAUUUGGAUGACUAUAAUUUUCUAGCAACAUGGUGGUCAAAGCAAUAUUCAAAUCCAAGCUCAACAUCUGGCUCACACCCGGAAACCGAUAGUAGAAGGAUGGAUGGGACCCCGAGACCUAUGGGAUUUGGUCCUAUGCAUGGUCUCAUUCUAAGACUUAUGUUGUCUAAGUCUCAACUUUAUUUUGUUCGAUGAAACUGAACAUUAAUAUGUUAUAUAAUAGUUUACUUAAAAAUUACAUUUGCACGACUACUAGGCUUAUAUUUUGACUUCAUAUUUCACUAGCGGAGNNNNNNNNNNNNNNNNNNNNNNNNNNNNNNNNNNNNNNNNNNNNNNNNNNNNNNNNNNNNNNNNNNNNNNNNNNNNNNNNNNNNNNNNNNNNNNNNNNNNNNNNNNNNNNNNNNNNNNNNNNNNNNNNNNNNNNNNNNNNNNNNNNNNNNNNNNNNNNNNNNNNNNNNNNNNNNNNNNNNNNNNNNNNNNNNNNNNNNNNNNNNNNNNNNNNNNNNNNNNNNNNNNNNNNNNNNNNNNNNNNNNNAGGCUUCACAAAAUUUCUAGCUUCGCCACUGCGGACAGGCUGAGGAAGCUGACGCCGUAGUGGCGCCAGCCGUCGCCGACAUCCACUUGGGAGUAGCAAAAGAAGCCGGAGAGCGUCUGCGGCGACCUCCUGCGGACGACCGGGUCGGAGCAGAGCGUCAGCCAUGCGGUGGACACGCACCUGAAGCGGCAGAGCGACCGGUACGGCACCCUCGACAGGAUCUCCGAGAGCAGGUCGCCCCAGAGGCUCUCCGCUGCCGGCGGAUUCUCCUCCUCCUCCUUCCUCUUCUCCAUCCCAAGGGGGUGCUGCGAAUGGCAGAGGCGCUUAGGGUUUUGAUGAGAUGCGCUUCGUCGAACCAAAGGUGAGGAGAAGGAGAGGGGAGGAGGGCGACAAACCUCACACCUCAAAGCGCGACGGGGAUGGCGGCGACGCACGGGACGACGGCGACGGCGGCAGAGAUGGCGGAGGCGAGCUGCUCUCACUAGAAAAAAAAAGACUCUGCUCCGUGUUUCCCCCGCCUCGGCCCAAGGAUAAAACACAAUUGUGGCGGCCUCUCGGCCCAAAAUGUGCCUUAGAUAGAUAGAGCACAUGAUUUUCUAAGCUCAAAAAAUAAAUGUUUUUCUAGGCACUUAAUUAGUUACUUGAGCCAAAAUGCAGGCCCCAUACUUUCAUCGGUAAUAAAAGAAAGAGAAAGUGGUGGCCUCACAAAGAUUAUGCUACAAUUGAACAUCAUGUUACAAAGAUUUUGCACUAAACUUUGCUGCAAAUAUUGUUGCCUCAAAGCGCGACGGGGAUGGCGACGACAGACAUGGCGGCGGCGGCGGUGCGUAUGGAGGCGAGCUGUCGAAACCAGAAGGGGAACUUCGCUCUCAGCCUCACACUGAGAGAACGCAAUCUGCUCCGUGUCUCCUGCACCUCGGCCCAAGGACCAAACCACACAAUUGCAGCAAACUCUCGGCCGAAAUUGUGCUUUAGAGCACAUUCCCUUUUCAUGGGCUCUGAAAAGAUGUUUUUUUGUUUUCCUAGGCUCUUAAUUACAGCACAGUUUGCAAGGAUUCCACUGGGAAAUAUCUAGACUCUUCGGGGUGUGACUGACCCAACAUCAUUGGAGGCUUUGGCUUGUCGAGAAGCGCUUGCACUUGCUCUUGACUUAUCACUUGAAGACAUACAGAUAGCUUCAGACUGUUAAGGUGUGAUUAAAGAUAUCCACGGAAAUAUAGAUGGGCUACCCUCUGACAUUAUUAAGGAGAUCAAUCUUACAUCUCAGCAGUUCUCUCGCUGUUCCUUCAUCUUCGAAGGAAGAGAAACUAAUCUUGAGGCACAUAGCCUCGCAAAACAUACUCUGGGCCUUUCUUUAGGACGCCACGUGUGGCUCCUUAAUCCGCCGGAUCUACAUUGUAUUCCUAUGAACCUUUAUAAUCAAUAAAGUCGAUUGUGUUUAGACUCAAAAAAAAUAAAAAUUGCUCCGGAAAAAGUUUCUCAAAAAAAAUUACUCUGGAAAAAAAUACAAAUCACAUAAUUUCAGCAAAAACAAAAUGGUUCCAUGAUGCCACCAGGAAGUACUAUAUGCUACACCCUUUGUUCCUAAAUGUAAGAGGUUCAAUCUUACAUCUAGGGUUUAGGAAAGAGGUGGUGCAAUUAAACGUUAUGGAUGUUGCGUUCAUAAUAUUAUCUUGGUUUGCAGUGUUGUUCUCGAUCCUACACAACAUGUAGCAUAUUGAUAAGACUGAAACAUGUUGUGUAGGAUCAAAGGUCAUGCUCACACAUACUGACGAAACUGAAACUGAAAUGGUCGUCUUGCACACACAUUUCUAGUAGCAUAUUCCUACCAAAAUGUACCCUAGACUAGACAUGUUGCAUCAACUUCAGUUCCAACUACUCCUAGAUACAAAUACUUAUGAUCUGGGCAGAGCCUCGGUCGGCCUCAGCUGGGGUUGUGCGUCUGGUCAUGCUCGAUCAAGUCCAUGGCCUGCUCCUUGGACACCACGUUUGAUGUUGCUCGCUCGCCCUGUUCUUGCGCGAUCUUGUCCGCCACCUUGAUGUAGCUCACCCUGUUCUUGAGCUCCGCCGCUAUGAACUGGGCGUCCGCCGGAUGCCGGACCACGCCUACAACACAACUUAAGGAAAGCAGCAGCAAAGAUUCGGAUGGAUGUCCUCAGCUCAGCAGCAGCUGUAUACCAUGUGUGUGAUUUAGCUCAAUGAACACACAAGGCAUUGGUGGGCAUGCACCCAGCUAGACAGACAAUAUAUGCAUGAAUAUAUAAAAGAUCUCUAUAAAACAAUAUAUGAUGACAUGUACACUACUGUUUACAAAGACUGAGAUGCCUUGGUUAUGCUCUGUUACUUCUCCAUCUGGCUUUGUGAAUCGUAAACAAAUGGAAUUCAGUUGACAUUGUUGAGGUUUGUGAUUCUACUCAACCUGUUUGAGCAUAACCAGUUACAUGACAGGCUACUUGCUAAUUUUCUUCAUCAUAAACCAAGUAUCCGUGGCCACCUUGCACUAGUUCAGAGAACACUUCACGGAAGUGCCUUGCAACUCCUUUAAAUGUGCGUUCAAUUGAUUCAUCCUUCCUUUGGUCUAAAACUGAUAUCAACUCUCUAAUUUUCUGCAAUACCAAUCAGUAGAUUUUUAUGAGAUUCUAGUCUGAGGACAAACAAAAGGGAAACAGGUUGUACUGAUCAAAAAAGCUUGCCUCGUCACCAGCAUCAAGUUCAGCCCGUCUUCUCUGCAGUUGUAUAAAACUUAUAAGGAGAGCACAGUAGCUUAUCAUUUCAAAUUUUGUUGAGAGAAUUUAUCAUCUGAAGUUAACUUCAUAAACUUAAGAAACGCACUACUGUUUACAAAGACUGAGAUGCCUUGGUCAUGCUUCUGUCCAGUCAUGCUUUUUUCUCUUCAACAGAGGCCUAGCUUGACAUGCUUCUGUGCUGACUGCUGACAUGUAUCCUGCUGCUAGCUGUGCUAAUUGCUAAACUGAAAAAUAUGAUGAAAUGCACACUACUGUUAACAAAGACAGAGAUAUUUUUUGGUCAUGCUCUAUCACUUCUCCAUUUGGCUUUAUGAAUCCACUCGACAUUGUUGAGGUUGAGCAUUUGUGAUUCUACUGAACCUGUUUGAACAUAAACAGCUACAUGAUAGGCUACUAGCUAAGUUGCCGUAAUAUUUGCUAUUCAGAUAAGCACUAAUGGAGUUACUGGCACACGUGCAAACGUAAGUUUCAAGGUGGAAGCUCUUCUUAAGGAAAUCAAGCAGGUUUGCUAAGUCUAUUCUCUAUUGUUACUCAGUGAACUACUCCCUCCGUUCCGAAUUACAAGGAGCCUGUUGUGUUUAAAAAGUGUAGCAUUACAAGGAGCCUGUUGUGUGAUAGAAUAGAAUAAUUGUACCCAUGUGUUGAAUGCUCGGGUGAACAAAUGAAUUGAGGCUAAUGUUACAAAUGAUGCAAAAGGUAGCAUCUCUCUGUCCCAGUGUCAUUGCCGUGUCAAUGAUUUCCUUAGUUUUUAUUUAUUUUAAAACAGCAUUCCUCAGUGUUUACAAAUGGCUUCAAUAUGACCGUGCUAAAAUGUACAUAUAUGAUGUGAAUAAAUGGAGGAAUAACGCGGUAUGCCAUGCUUGCAUCAUACUAUUAAAUUCUGGUUUAAUAUAAUUGUCGUUUCUUUAUUUUGCUGUAAAUGUUUGAACAUGUGACUGCAGGAAAGACCCCGCCACUAAAUUUCGUUGAAGUUAGAAACACUUACUAGGUUGAGCAAGAACUGUCAUGUUGAAGUCACUUCCUGGAUGAUACUCCCUCCGUUCCGAAUUACUUGUCUUGAAAAUUUGUCUAGAUAAAGAUGUAUCUAGACUCAUUUUAGUGCUAGAUACAUCCGUAUCUAGACAAAUCUAAGACAAGUAAUUCGGAACGGAGGGAGUAGAUCUUUCUGUUAUCACUAUGCAAUUGCAAGCAUACCUUUACCAAAAAAAAAUCCUAGUAGCUGCAUCGAAGUUUAUGAAUGCUGCUGAUUCUCCUUUUUUUUUGCAAGGACAUGGUCCUGAUUCAUGAACUACAUACAAGCCACAGCAUAUGACAGUGGUAUGACAGUCCAGUCAGGAAUUACUUGCAGAACUAAAAUGGCCAUGGACAAUUUACUCAGAACAAGGACACUGUAGGGUGUUAAGAGUGCUGGUGAUGAACAAUGAACCUGUGUGGCAUUACAUAACCAAUCUUCACUACGAACAGUGGUAUCACUGGAUGAGUUGUGCUAUUAUCUUCCCAUAAAAAGCAAAUAAAAUACAAUUCUGUUCUCAGACUAGCACGUGCUGGUAUUAUUUGUCACCAUGCAAACAGAUUUCGCUGAAGGAAUCUCCCAGUUUGUAUGUACAAGAACUUGAACAAUUUGAUGCAGGAUUCCAUGGUAUUAAAUGAGACGACAAAAGGAGAUAUCCAUUUCAAAUAGCAUAUGAGAGCACACUACUUUCAAACGCAUCAGAGAAGGAUGAUGUCUAUAAUUGAACUGUGAUGGAUAACAAGUUACAGUUACUUGAACUAAAUAAGUGGAUAGUGAUGGAUAACAAGUUACAGUUACUUCGCUAAACAAAUGGAUAGAAAGAGGAUUUAUCCAAUCCACCACCCUGAACCAAGGAAAUCUGGACCAUACCGACAUUUGAUUCUCAUGAAGUCACUGGAGGCAUGCCGUCUCAGCCAACAUGAAGCUGCUCCAAAAUUUACCGAGGCUUCUCCGCAAAACAGGGAACGUAUGGCUGAAAUCUUCGUGGCUGGCGGUCUCCGAGAGUGCAGAUAAUACUCAGUUUACUGGUAUCCAUAUCGUACGACAUGAGUGUUUUUUCACGGCUCGCUGCGCCUACUAGGAAGAUCAAACUGCACUCUGGAUGGAUCGCGAUCAGCGUGUAGUGUUCGCCGGGCUCAUGGUGAGGCCUUCCUAGCAUUUCUAAAAUGCUGGCGGUACACUUGAGGGUCCAUUGUCCGCUGGCAUAAUCCUCAAGAACCCAAACGGAUAGCCGGCAUCUACCUUCAGUUUCAACAUGCGUUGCGUAUAGGCGUCCUUGCGACUGCCCGAUGAAACCAUUAUAGAUGGAAUCCGGCAACCGGAUCUUCCUCCAUGUUUUACCCUCCAUGUCCACAGUCACCAUCCAGCGAAUCAGGUUCCCCUCCCAGUCAAAAUCGGCAUCAGAAUGGUCGGCGUCGACCAGAUGCAAAGUGCCGUUCAAGAAGACGCAUUCUGAAUCCUCGCCGAGGAGGAGGGUCUUGGGGCUCCACUCGCUCCGCAUGGAGGUCCACCGCCCGGUGUCCGAGGCAUAGGCCUCCACGGUCUGAAUCCCACGAAAGCUUUGCACGAACACGAACACCACGAAUCGGCUGGGGGCGGCGGGGUCGAAGCAGAGGCGGGCGGUGUUGAGGCGCGUCAUGAUCUUGUUUCGGGGCACGGGCAGCACGGCCCAGACCUCCUUGGUGGCGGGGUUGCACACGACGUAGUUGCCGUCGUCGCUCAUGGCCGCCUUCUCGCAGUAGCAGAGGAGGAUGCCGCCGCAGCAGUGCAGGGGCGUGACGUCGCAGUAGCCGCGCACGCGCACGAAGCGGAGGGAGGGGUCGUCGACCAGCGGCCGGCCCCACCCGGACAGGUUGAGGAAGCCGAGGGCGUCGCGGCGCUGGCCGCCGCCGACGUCGUGCUGGGAGUAGCAGAAGAAGCCGGAGAGCGUCUGCGGCGACCUCCUGCGGACGGCCGGGUCGGAGCAGAGCGCCAGCCAUGCGGUGGACACGCACCUGAAGCGGCACAGCGACCGGUACGGCACCCGCGACAGGAUCUCCCGGAGGAUCUCUGGGAGCAGGUCGCCCCCCCAGGGGCUCUCCGCCGCCGGCGGCUGCUUCUGCUCCUCGUCCUCCUCCGCCUUCUUCCUCUUCUCCAUCCCGCACCCCGGUGGCCGGGCUGCUCCUGCUGCGAAUGGAAUUUGUUCGCUUAGGGUUUUGAUGAGAUGUGGUCCUCCCGGACCCCUUCCUCGAGCCGAAGGUUAGGAGAAGGAGAGGGGAGCAGGGCGACAAACCUCACACCUCAAAGCGCGACGGGGAUUGCGGCGACGCACGGGACGACGGCGGCGGCGACGGCGGCGGCGGCGCGUACGAGAUGGUGGAGGAAGGGGGACACUCUGCUGUCUUUUUUUUUUUUUUUGAGAAAUAGGGACACUCUGCCGUCUGCUCCGUGUCUCCCGCAUCUUCGGCCCAAGAAUAAAACACAACUGCGGCGGCCUCUCGGCCCAAAAUGUGUUUUAGAUAGAGCACAUGAUUUUUCUAGGACCCCGAUAAAAUCCGAACGUUCGGAUUUUAAGCAUUUCAUCCCGAACAUUUUUACAUGACAACUUUAGUUGACGCGAGGUCGCAAUUUUAGUUGUUACUAGCAAAAAGACCCUUGCGUUGCAACGUGAGAAAAAAAUACCACACACUCUUAAUUCACGAAAAGUGGUAUAUAAUCUGAGAAUUUGUAGCUAUGACCCAAACAAAUGUGGUCUUAGCCUAGAAAAGCGCAGUUCAAGAUUCCACAUGUAUUAUGUUUCAACAUGUUCAUCCCCUAUCCGAAUCACUACCGGUAUGAAAGAAAGAAGGAUAAUGCAUUAUUGAUUAAGAUUGCACCCUAAUCACUAACUUAGAUUGUAUUUUCUUAAAUUGUUAACACGUAAAAUAACAACAUAUAUAUUCAGAUUCUACAUAUUUUUCUAAUCAAAAUUCAUAUAUAACAUGUUAAAUUUGGAGUUACUAGCAAAAGAGCCCCUGCGUUGCAACGGGAGAAAAAAAAGCCAAAAUUAGUGACGUUGCAAUAAUUUAUAUACCAGAAAAGGUGUAAUCAAAAGGAUAAUUUAUAAAUUACUAUUGAUCUCACAAAAAAGAAUAAUUUAUAAGUUGGAUGUGAAACAUAUUUUUUAAGUUCGCCGUGUGUGCCAUAACCCCUUGGCGUGCGGGGCGAAACAAGACGCGAGCAAGAUGCACUAUUGUCGCACUCUCUCCACUCUUCAUUCCCCCUCUCUCCUCCCUAUCUCACCAACGACAUCGAUGACAAGCAGAUUUGAGGUAUAAGUUGAUGGUCAGCAAGUACCGGCAGUGGCGGAGCCAGGAGAAACUUAAUCGGGGGGCCAACUGAUGUUAAAUCAUGUCGGGGAACACAAUAUUAGCAACAGGUAAUUAGUCAUGUAAUGGAAAAAUCUGCAUGUUGGCCUCGGCUGGGGCCCCUGCUCGCACCCCUGCCUCCGCCACAGAGUACUCAUGAGCCCCAAAUAUCUUCUCCCUUAAAAAGUAGUAUUUCUUUCCAAUUUUUCACUCACUUUUAAUUAGUCUAUUUGAUAAUGUAUUUGUAAGGUGUGGUAGGCAUGAAUAGUAAACUAUGAUAGUAACAACAAACAACAACAACAAGUAGUUAUAAUUGGUGCUCAUCCGGAAAACGAUGCUAGCACGCAUAGCAUCCAUCCAUGGUUUUGUAGGUUUUGUUUAUCAUUUUGAAAUAUUACCACCCUUGAAUGAAAUGAGCAAAUUUUGGAACUUUUUCCAAAGAUCUCAGGCGAAAUGAACAAUCCAAAAUUUGAAUUUUUGGACAAAAAUGGGAUGAAAUAUGAAAGAAAAACUAUCAAAAUUGUACAAAUAUUUUGUCUUGCAGCAAUGGAGUAAAGCAGAAUCAAACUGAAUAACACUAUCCCUUUAUUGAUAUACACCCACGAAUAGCUCACAGCAAUACAAUUAGCAGAAAUUCCACAUUACUUACUAUUCAUCUUGGUGUGAUUAGUACUACAUCCUAGGUCCCGUUUUAGCAAGAUGUGGCUGGAAUUGUUCCUUGGUGAUGUCGCUCGGAUGACCACGUCUGCAUCCAGCAGCUUCUAGUCCACAGUUGAUUAAAAAAAGCAACAGGCACCACCAAAUCCCCACCGAUGUCACCACCCACUGCGUGCCCCUUCUUAUCCACAACACGUCGCCAUUCCUCAUCACCCAAGCGCCGCUCCGCCUCCAUCUUCCUCCUGCUGCCUGACCACCCAUCGUUGCUCCUCCUCCUCUUCUCCUCUUCUCCAUCCGCCUCACACCCAAGUGUUGCUUUCCUGUUCUUGGCCGCGGUGGCUGGCCUGAGCCACAUCCCAGCUGACAGCGUCGGCGUGCUUUCUGGCUACGGCUGGGGCGUUGGUGGCCUGCUCGUCGGCGCACUCGGGCCGGGGCGGAGCCCCCUUCCUUGCAGUGGUGAUGGAGCCCCUCCUCCCGGAGGGUGGCUGGGGGCAACCGAGGUUGCGGGGCAGGUGUGCAGUGGCUCGGUUGCGCCAGAUCUGGCGGCUGGCCAGCACGCGCGGGGGGCGGUCUGGUGGUGGUGUUCGUCUGCCGGUGGCCACGGAUGUGGGAGUGCCGAAGCUGCCUCCGGUGAAAGCCCCUGGGCCCCGGUUUUCUCUUCCAUGAGCUGGUCUCUGUGUCAGCAAUGGGCAUCAAUUUUCUCUGUAUCUUUAGUUCGGCUCUCUCUCCUUCUUUAGGAUUAUUAGCUCAAAUGGCAAUUAAGACAUUUUUUUCUAUUAGGCUCGGUGCUUUUCUUUGGAUUCAUGUGCAUCUCCUCUUUGCUCAUUUUCAAUUGGUGACGCAUAUAGUAGAUGCGGCAGGCAGCUUUCUUGAUUUUUCUCUAGGGUAAACAUGAACAUCUCAUCCGCUUUUUGUUGGCUUGUUGAUCUUGUAAUGCAUGAAAUAAGUUGGUUGGAUUUUAUGUAAUAGAGCAGGUAGGACUAUUAAUUGGAAUCUGGAAUUUUAGCACAGGCACAAGACUUGGUUCCCAAGGCAGGAAGAGGAGGAGCUCGGGCGCGCUGGUGAGAGGAGCCGAAGUGGAACGGUGGUGCCGGGUGAUGCGGUCGCCGGCAUCGGCCGGCAUCGGAUUGAGCAUCACGUGGGCCGCGAGCCUAGCGGCUAGGAUCCGGAGGCGAGGAAGAGUCCGUCCUCAUGUCUGUUCAUGUUUUUUUUCUCCCUUUAAAAAAGGAGCGAAUGGAACGCUAGCAGGGCGGCGGGCACUUAAUUACUUGAGCCAAAAUGCAGGCCCCAUAUUUUCAGUAAAAGAAAAUAAAGUGGUGCCGUAACAAAGAUUAUGCUACAAUUAAACAUCAUGUUACAAAGAUUUUGCACUGAUACAUCUUUGGCUUGCAUAGAGCACUAUUCUUCAAAUAUUGUUGCUUCCUAGAGAAUGGUGCUUCUGCCUUCCGGGGCAGCACCACAUGAUGAUCAUGGAAAUUUUGUAGCGGCGCAAUACCCCCACAUGGACUCGGCAGCUAUGGCGGAGGCAAUUGCCCUGGGUUGCUACAAAAUUUAAAUUGAUUCAGACUGAAUUGAGUUAGUGGACACGAUGAAGAACGGAGGCAACUCACUCAGUGUUGCAGCUGCACUUAGUUUAUGAAGAAUGCUCCUUUCUAUGCAAGACUUUACGAAUGCCAAGUUCGAUCAUUGUCCUAUAAAAAGUUGCGCGUCUUUUGGCUUCUACUUCUAAGGUUUCUGCUGCUAAUAUGUGGCAACAGGAACACACAUAUUUUAUCUUAGCACAAUUAGCAAACUCUCCCCACUGAUCAAUGAAUUUGGUAGUCAAACUACCAACAUUCCAAAAAAACAAUCAGCAAACAAUUUAACUUUUAUGUCAACCGAAUAAAGUCACCAUGAUGUCUUUCCCUCAAAAAACUUAGCAACACAGAAAUUAUCAUGGUCAUGGUCUCUAUUUCUUUCGGCGCGUACUGACAAAACUAUUUAUAACACAUUCCAAGGUUUAGUCUUCAGAAGAGAAUCAUUCCCAACAUAUUCGAGUGUAUGACCUAGAUCUGUUGCAUCUAACUCCAGUUCCAACUAGAGACAAAUAUAACUCCAAACCACACACAUAACUCUUUAUCUAUCAGGUUAUCAGCAGGUUCCAGAUGCCGCUAAAACCUCGCAGUCGUAACCAAUGAAACAAGAGAAAUGAUGGACCAAAUUUUGCAGCAGUGCGGUACAAAUAGACAAAUCGAAAAACGCACAUCUCCAAUCACGCAAACGCUCCCUAAGCAUACUUAAACAAGAUUUAGUAAUCCAAAGGCUCCUACGCAUUCUUCAAGUUACCAGUCCAAAGGCUAACUAAAUAUACACAUCUACAUUAACAGUGGCCUACAAUGUCCACGAGUAGACCAACGGCAACACACACGCCCCCGUACGUAUCUUUCCUUUCCUGUGUAAACAUCUUGCU